rnacentral:rRNA from 1 species
GUCCUUUAAUCAAGAACGAAAGUUAGGGGAUCGAAGACGAUCAGAUACCGUCGUAGUCCUAACUAUAAACGAUGUCAACCAAGGAUUGGAUGAAAUAAAGAAAUUCGCGGAUGAAGAAACAUUGUUUCGGAAACCAAGAGUUUCACAACUACCUUGUUCAGAACUUAAAGAGAAAUCUCGAGUUUAUGGACUUCAGGGGGAGUAUGGUCACAAGGCUGAAACUUAAAGGAAUUGACGGAAGGGCACACCAGGAGUGGAGCCUGCGGCUUAAUUUGACUCAACACGGGAAAACUUACCAAGACCGAACAGUAGAAGGAAUGACAGAUUAAGAGUUCUUUCAUGAUUUAUUGGGUAGUGGUGCAUGGCCGUUCUUAGUUGGUGGAGUGAUUUGUCAGGUUAAUUCCGGUAACGAACGAGACUGAAACCUAUUAAUUAGUUUCCUGCCUAUACGACAGGAAUCUCCGCAAGGUCAGGUGCCUCGGUACCACUUCUUAAAGGGACACAUUUCA